ACACUCAAGAAAGAGGACUUCCAGAACUGCCUCAGAAGGUGCAACGUGUUUCCUAUGGUGAAGGAAAAUUUUUGGACGGGAUUGCUAGCCUUUGCUCAUAAUUUGGAAACUUAAGUACACAUGAAGAAGAUUUGAAGAAUGAAUCUUGAUCUUUACUGUCAAUAGGAUUAAUAAAAUAUGUACAAAACAA